AAAGGUGCUUAAGGGAUUUUAAAGUUUUAAGGAUUUCAGUGUGUUUUUCCAUGAACACGUGAACGCUUAGGAAUGAAAAUCAGUAGGAGAAGAUGAGAAAUAGUUGCUAGAGACAGAGGUGACACAAGAAGUCCCCACACGCGCUGGGAUUUAUGGAAGAGCUGACCAGCUUUCUGGGGAGGAUCUAAGACAAACCUGUGAGCUGCACCUUGCAGAAAGGAGGCAAAAAGCCAAGUGGCAGGAGAUCUGCUGAGAAAGCUGAGGAUGACAGUCUCGCAGGGGAGGAUGGAAGGCAGCAGCCAUACAAAUUAGAGUGUCACUGGGAUCCUGGUAAACAAACUGCUGGCAGAGGGAGGAAGGCAGCAGUAAGCAGGAAUUCCAUGGGAAGGAAUUCUCUGGGAAGGACCAGCUCGUUCCUUCAGGGCCAAGUCCUGCCCUGCACCAGCUCCUCCAAUGGUCCCAAAUGCUGAGAGAUCCCAUGGAACACUGGGCAGAGGAAUUCCUGUGGAAAUCUAUUCCUUGUGUAAUGGAGCCUGUGGAACCAAGUUCCUCUGAGUGUGCUGCUGAAGAACAUCAGGAACCUUGAGCAGAAGUGUCAGCUGUGCAGGAGACAGCAAAGGUUCUUCUCAGUUAAAAACACAACUCAUAAAACAAGACAACUACCAGGUUCCCUUCCUUCAGGAGGGUGGGAGCCUCCAGCCCAGGGAGCCACCGAGCUCCCCUGGACACGGAAAGGAAACCACAGGUAAAAAAGUGUCAGCAUUGCCUAGAGAAGAUGCUGAGAGGAAAAAUGAGCUGGAAGGCACAUCUGCAGCCCCAGAUCACAUUUUCACAUUUGAGUGUGUCAGAGCAGCAAAACCAUCGGUGGUGUGGUCUGUGGUGUCCGAGGCUGCACCUCCCUGGGCACGGGAAUCCUGCACUUUCCAGGGCACAGGAAUCCUUCACUUCCCUGGGCACGGGAAUCCUGCACUUUCCAGGGCACAGGAAUCCUGCACCUCCCUGGGCACAGGAAUCCUUCACUUCCCUGGGCACGGGAAUCCUGUACCUCCCUGGGCACGGGAAUCCCAACGGGCAGCUCGGGACAAGGGCAGGGAAAUACUGAACUCACGGCGAGAUGGUGCAACGAGACGAAUUUUCCAGAAAACUGAAAGCUGAAGAUUUCAGAAUGACUUCAACACACAGAUGUCUCUGCUUUGUUCCUCUACCAACUGAUCAUCCAUUUCCUUCCUCCCUUUCUUUCUUCCCUUUCCCAAAGCUCAAGUGCUCCUGGAUGAAGUCUCUGCACACACCAAGGGUGCUGGCGUGGGCUGCACACGCGGGGCCCGUGGGGCUCUCAGUCCAACAACCACCUCCUUCCCCACCCCCUGCACGCUCCUGCAUCUUCCCUUCUUCUUGUGUUUAGGGCAGGAAAUUAAGAUAAUUCUUUCUAAGGAAAAAAAAAAAAUCAACUUGGAAAAGCACUCUGAACUUCCCCCACCCCCACGUGACGGGAUGGAACCGCGCUGGCUUCCGAGAUGGCUGGAAAACUGCUCCUGACAUGGCACCAUCACCAGAGAGGGGCUUCUGCACAAAGAAUCCCAAAGCCUAUAAAGUCAUUAAAAAUUGUGCAUCGAA